CAGCACGAUGAUGUGUAUGCCCAUGUAACCAUCACCUAGAAGGAUGAGAACCACAAGCAUGAGAACAUGAGGAUAAAUACACUUUGGGGAAAAAGAAAACAGACAGAGGCAGCAGAGAAGGAAGACGAGAAGAAGAGAAAAAGAGAAGUAGGAAGAGGAUGAAUUCAUUUCGCUUAUCUGGCAAAUGUGUAAUCUGAGUAAUAGAGGUGAGUGUUUCUAAGAGGAUGCUGUUCAGAGACAAAUACACUGUUUAAAAUCCAUUAGA
rnacentral:lncRNA from 10 species